rnacentral:rRNA from 1 species
GACGAACGCUGGCGGCGUGCCUAAUACAUGCAAGUCGAACGCUGAAGCGAGGAGCUUGCUCUUCUUGGAUGAGUGGCGGACGGGUGAGUAACGCGUAGGUAACCUGCCUUGUAGAGGGGGAUAACUAUUGGAAACGAUAGCUAAUACCGCAUAACAAUGGAUGACACAUGGCCUUUUUUUGAAAGGGGCAAUUGCUGCACUAUAAGAUUGACCUCCCUCGGAUUAGUCUAGAUGGGAGGGAAUGGCUCUCCUAGGCGUCGAUACAUAGCCGGCCUGAGAGGGGGAUCGGACCACCUGGGAAUGAGACACGGCCCAGAACUCUAAGGGAGGCAGCAGUAGGGGAUCUUCGGCAAUGGGGGGAACGCUGACCGAGCAACGCCGCGGGAGUGAAGAAAGUUCUCGGAUCGGAAAGAUCUGUUGUAUGUCGAGAAACAGUGUGAGAGUGGAAAGUUCACACUGUGACGGUAGCUAAUCAGAAAGGCACGGCUAACUACGUG